AAAACGACUCUCGGCAACGGAUAUCUCGGCUCUCGCAUCGAUGAAGAACGUAGCGAAAUGCGAUACUUGGUGUGAAUUGCAGAAUCCCGUGAACCAUCGAGUCUUUGAACGCAAGUUGCGCCCGANGCCAUUAGGCNGAGGGNACGUCUGCCUGGGCGUCACG
rnacentral:rRNA from 1 species